CCUACGGGGGGCAGCAGUGGGGAAUAUUGGGCAAUGGGCGCAAGCCUGACCCAGCAACGCCGCGUGAAGGAAGAAGGCUUUCGGGUUGUAAACUUCUUUUGUCAGGGACGAAGCAAGUGACGGUACCUGACGAAUAAGCCACGGCUAACUACGUGCAAGCAGCCGCGGUAAUACGGAGGAUGCGAACGUUAUCCGGAUUUAUGGGGUUUAAAGGGUGCGCAGGCGGAGGUUCACGGCAGCGGUCAAAUUGCGGGGCUCAACCCCGUACUGCCGUUGAAACUGCAUCCCUUGAGUGCGCGAGAAGUAUGCGGAAUGCGUGGUGUAGCGGUGAAAUGCAUAGAUAUCACGCAGAACUCCGAUUGCGAAGGCAGCAUACCGGCGCGCAACUGACGCUCAUGCACGAAAGCGUGGGUAUCGAACAGGAUUAGAUACCCGGGUAGUC
rnacentral:rRNA from 1 species